GGCUGCUAUGAUGUAAAUCAGUAUACAGUGGCUGUAUUGGAAAGCAAAUGCACACCCAGGUAGAUUACAGGCAGCAGAGAUGGAAUGAUUGUGUCCAGAGAUCCAGACAUUUGUUGAAUUUUGGAGCCGUUUACCAUCAGGACUGCUAUAGCAUAGGUUUUAUUUGUAUCACAUUUAAGAGCAUGCAACCUAAGGAACUGACUCUUGGUGUCUUUUUUGAUGAAAGUUAAAAGUCUGUCAACAUCCUCACGUCGACCGAGGAAUUCCAUCUGUGCAGCGUCUACUUAAAGGGAAGCUGGUCACCAUGAGUGAAGACAAUAACGGCAUAUUUUAGGGCAUCUUCAGAGAAAUACCGGCAUAUUUUGGUGAUGACGUCCU